rnacentral:rRNA from 1 species
GAGACCCCACRUGCCGAUUGUUCCGCGGUGCAUUAGCUAGUUGGUGAGGUAAUGGCUCWCCAAGGCAACGAUGGGUAGCMGACCUGAGAGGGUGAUYGGCCACACUGGGWCUGAGACMCGGCCCAGACUCCUACGGGAGGCAGCAGUAGGGAAUCUUCCGCAAUGGAYGAAAGUCUGACGGAGCAACGCCGCGUGAGUGAUGAAGGUUUUCGGAUCGUAAAGCUCUGUUGUUAGGGAAGAACAAGUACCGUUCGAAUAGGGCGGUACCUUGACGGUACCUAACCAGAAAGCCACGGCUAACUACGUGCCAGCAGCCGCGGUAAUACGUAGGUGGCAAGCGUUGUCCGGAAUUAUUGGGCGUAAAGGGCUCGCAGGCGGUUUCUUAAGUCUGAUGUGAAAGCCCCCGGCUCAACCGGGGAGGGUCAUUGGAAACUGGGGAACUUGAGUGCAGAAGAGGAGAGUGGAAUUCCACGUGUAGCGGUGAAAUGCGUAGAGAUGUGGAGGAACACCAGUGGCGAAGGCGACUCUCUGGUCUGUAACUGACGCUGAGGAGCGAAAGCGUGGGGAGCGAACAGGAUUAGAUACCCUGGUAGUCCACGCCGUAAACGAUGAGUGCUAAGUGUUAGGGGGUUUCCGCCCCUUAGUGCUGCAGCUAACGCAUUAAGCACUCCGCCUGGGGAGUACGGUCGCAAGACUGAAACUCAAAGGAAUUGACGGGGGCCCGCACAAGCGGUGGAGCAUGUGGUUUAAUUCGAAGCAACGCGAAGAACCUUACCAGGUCUUGACAUCCUCUGACAAUCCUAGAGAUAGGACGUCCCCUUCGGGGGCAGAGUGACAGGUGGUGCAUGGUUGUCGUCAGCUCGUGUCGUGAGAUGUUGGGUUAAGUCCCGCAACGAGCGCAACCCUUGAUCUUAGUUGCCAGCAUUCAGUUGGGCACUCUAAGGUGACUGCCGGUGACAAACCGGAGGAAGGUGGGGAUGACGUCAAAUCAUCAUGCCCCUUAUGACCUGGGCUACACACGUGCUACAAUGGACAGAACAAAGGGCAGCGAAACCGCGAGGUUAAGCCAAUCCCACAAAUCUGUUCUCAGUUCGGAUCGCAGUCUGCAACUCGACUGCGUGAAGCUGGAAUCGCUAGUAAUCGCGGAUCAGC